AGUGAACGCUGGCGGUAGGCCUAACACAUGCAAGUCGAACGGCAGCACAGGAGAGCUUGCUCUCUGGGUGGCGAGUGGCGGACGGGUGAGGAAUACAUCGGAAUCUACCUUUUCGUGAGGGAUAACGUAGGGAAACUUACGCUAAUACCGCAUACGACCUACGGGUGAAAGUGGGGGACCGCAAGGCCUCACGCGAUUAGAUGAGCCGAUGUCCGAUUAGCUAGUUGGCGGGGUAAUGGCCCACCAAGGCGACGAUCGGUAGCUGGUCUGAGAGGAUGAUCAGCCACACUGGAACUGAGACACGGUCCAGACUCCUACGGGAGGCAGCAGUGGGGAAUAUUGGACAAUGGGCGCAAGCCUGAUCCAGCCAUACCGCGUGGGUGAAGAAGGCCUUCGGGUUGUAAAGCCCUUUUGUUGGGAAAGAAAUCCUGUCGAUUAAUACUCGGUGGGGAUGACGGUACCCAAAGAAUAAGCACCGGCUAACUUCGUGCCAGCCGCCGCGGUAAAAC
rnacentral:rRNA from 1 species